UACGAAGGGGGCUAGCGUUGCUCGGAAUUACUGGGCGUAAAGCGCACGUAGGCGGAUCUUUAAGUCAGGGGUGAAAUCCUGGAGCUCAACUCCAGAACUGCCUUUGAUACUGAGGACCUUGAGUUCGGGGAGAGGUGAGUGGAACUGCGAGUGUAGAGGUGAAAUUCGUAGAUAUUCGCAAGAACACCAGUGGCGAAGGCGGCUCACUGGCCCGAUACUGACGCUGAGGCACGAAAGCGUGGGGAGCAAACAGG
rnacentral:rRNA from 1 species